AUGGUCCUAAUGCAUGACAAACACAGGUGUCGCUCAACGCUAAAUAUGGGUCUGCUCCAUGAUUGUGUCAGGGCUGGGGUAUUCAUUGGGUACCUACUCACCCAAUGUUAAUGGUCCGUGCAAACUGCUGCUGUGGCACCCUGCUAUGACAACUCUGAUGAGGGUCCACGGUCAAUGAUUGUUAUCUUAUAUAGUUUGUAUGGCCUGCUACCCCUGCCCUGCUCCAUACAAAGCAGCAGCCCCAUCAUUAGUGUUAUGAGCGACACCUGUGUUAGUCCUAUGGUUAGAGCUCUGUGAAAGGGGUCCAAAAUGCAAUUAUAGACAUGGAUAUAAUUGUCUAUAAUAAUCUAUGAUUCAGAAAUGUGCUUGUGUUUCAGAAUUUGGGAUUUAAAGAUGUACCAACCUGCUGUGCAGUCUCAUUGUUGGAUAUCAUGGCUGGAUACUUGGAAGUGGGAAUGCAUCAGAUUCUAACUCUUCCUCAGACCGCUAUUAAAACAAAGGAGAAUAAUUAUCAGCCGACCAUCUAGCAUUGACCAUACAUAAUCAAGAAGCCUCCUGCGAUUUUAAUGUUAUGCAUUGCAUUCAUUUUUAACCAUCUACAUUACUCAAUGACACACCCUGCAAUAUGUAAAAUACAAAUGUACAACAAAAUUAAAUAAAAUUUAGAUGAUGGACCAUAGCCAUACUUGCAUUCUAUCCUACUCAGAUUACUUGAUAUUAUGCCUAUUAUUUCUACUCUAAUUCAACCUUUCACAAAUGAAUGCUAUAAAAUGAUUGUGACAAGGCAGGGGUCGACUAUGUGAUACAAAUAGAAAAUACUGUGUGUAUGUUCAGGUACCGUGAAGUCAAACGUGGAGAUUGUUGCAUGCACUGUGUAACAGUAGGGUGAAUCUGGCAAAUAAUUGACAGUUCUGGGAUAUUGUAUUAUGUUUGUAUUAUGUCUGAGAUGUAUAUGCUAGCCAACCUGGCAACAACGUCAUAUUGCUUUGUGUCACAUAUUGAGGUUAG